UACGGGGGGGGCAAGCGUUGUUCGGAAUUACUGGGCGUAAAGGGCUCGUAGGCGGCCGCACAAGUCCGACGUGAAAUCCCUCGGCUCAACCGAGGAACUGCGUCGGAAACUAGGUGGCUCGAAUCCAAGAGAGGGAUGCGGAAUUCCAGGUGUAGCGGUGAAAUGCGUAGAUAUCUGGAGGAACACCGGUGGCGAAGGCGGCAUCCUGGAUUGGUAUUGACGCUGAGGAGCGAAAGCCAGGGGAGCAAACGGG
rnacentral:rRNA from 1 species